rnacentral:lncRNA from 1 species
AGAUCACUCUGCUCAACAACAGCAGAAUACUCAUUGUUCCCAAGCACACAUGGAACAUUCUCUAGGAUAUACCAUGUUAGGGGCCAAUACAAGUAUCAGUACAUAUUUGAGAAAUUGAAAUCACACAGAGCAUCUUCUCUAACAACCAUGGAAUGAAGGAAGAAAUCAUUAACAGAACCAUUCACCAUCACGUUUGCCACACAUGACAUCAGUAGUCAUAUGGAUGGAGACCAAGAACAGAACUCAAGGAUGUGUCCGGCAAUCAGUAAAGUCUUCUCUUCCCUAUUCACACACUCAACCUCAACAUCAAGAAUUUCAGUUCUGAAUUGAUAGGAAUAUGGCCCAUUGAUCUGAUCUUUGAAUUUUUAAAGGAGGUAAAUCAUAAUUACCAUACUUCCUAUAUAUUUCAUUGGAUAUUACUGAAUUAUUUAGUUAGCUAUGAAAGAUAUACUUUUUAUAACAAGUGUUUUCAAAGGAGGUUUUGUAUG